UCUGCCCCACGGGGAAGGAUGAGAAGCUUCGACCAAGGUUCGACUCGAGCGAAGCGAGAGAACGUUGCCGCAGGCAACGGCCCGAAGGGCGAGGCGCUUUAGCGCCGAGUAAUCCUUCCCCCACCACCA
rnacentral:sRNA from 1 species